rnacentral:lncRNA from 10 species
GGGAGUGACCAGGAGCAUGGCUAGCUGAAGGGCUUGUUUCUGCAGGACAUGGACUACUCACGCAUCAUCGAGCGCCUCCUGAAGCUGGCGGUGAGUGCGGACAGGUGGCGCAUGCACAGGACAGGAGGGGACAGUGGCAUGUGGGGGAAGGUUCUAGAACUUGGUGCCCACCCCCACCUCCCUGCCAGGUCCCCAAUCACCUCAUCUGGCUCAUCUUCUUCUACUGGCUCUUCCACUCCUGCCUGAAUGCCGUGGCUGAGCUCAUGCAGUUUGGAGACCGGGAGUUCUACCGGGACUGGUGGAACUCCGAGUCUGUCACCUACUUCUGGCAGAACUGGAACAUCCCUGUGCACAAGUGGUGCAUCAGGUAGGUGGGGUGUGUGUGUGUGUGAUGUGGAACAUGGCUGUGAACCUGAACCGCUUUCCAUGCCCCCUCCUCUGCAGACACUUCUACAAGCCCAUGCUUCGACGGGGCAGCAGCAAGUGGAUGGCCAGGACAGGGGUGUUCCUGGCCUCGGCCUUCUUCCACGAGUACCUGGUGAGCGUCCCUCUGCGAAUGUUCCGCCUCUGGGCGUUCACGGGCAUGAUGGCUCAGGUGAGUGACC